rnacentral:piRNA from 1 species
GUAAUUGAUGCCAAUAACUUGUAGUUUGCUG